CCCGAAAGGGUAGCUAAUACCGCAUGUUGAGCCGACAUCAAUGUCGUCUCCAAAGCAGAAAUGCGCUAUGGGCGGGGCCUGCGUUCGAUUAGCUAGUUGGUGGGGUAAUGGCUCACCAAGGCGACGAUCGAUAGGUGGUCUAAGAGGACGAUCACCCAGACUGGGACUGAGACACGGCCCAGACUCCUACGGGUGGCAGCAGUCGGGAAUUUUGCGCAAUGGGGGAAACCCUGACGCAGCAAUACCGCGUGUGGGAUGAAGGCCUUCGGGUCGUAAACCACUUUUUUCGGGGACGAUAAUGACGGUACCCGAAGAAUAAGCCACGGCUAACUACGUGCCAGCAGCCGCGGUAAUAC
rnacentral:rRNA from 1 species